GGUCCCCAUUAAGGCAGUGUCUCGAAAAGACUAGGCCAAGGUGGGGGAAGGCUCAUCUCAGGGUGUGGCCACGCCUUCUACUUAUGGUGCCGGGCGUCGGUCUGUCAGAGUGCGUCACAUUGCGGUGCCACUCGCGGCCGAAGGUCUGGGGACGA
rnacentral:sRNA from 12 species